rnacentral:rRNA from 1 species
UACAGAGACUGCAAGCGUUAUUCGGAUUCACUGGGCGUAAAGGGUGCGCAGGUGGCCAAGUGUGUUAGGCGUGAAAGCCCGGGGCUUAACCCCGGAAUUGCACCUAAAACUACUUGGCUAGAGCAUUGGAGAGGGGAGCAGAAUUCACGGUGUAGCAGUGAAAUGCGCAGAUAUCGUGAGGAACACCAGAGGCGAAGGCGGCUACCUGGACAAUUGCUGACGCUCAGGCACGAAAGCGUGGGGAGCAAAAGGG